rnacentral:rRNA from 1 species
UGGGGAAUAUUGGACAAUGGGCGCAAGCCUGAUCCAGCAAUGCCGCGUGUGUGAAGAAGGCCUUCGGGUUGUAAAGCACUUUUAUCAGGAGCGAAACGCUGUCGGCUAAUACUCGGCGGAACUGACGGUACCUGAGGAAUAAGCACCGGCUAACUUCGUGCCAGCAGCCGCGGUAAUACGAAGGGUGCAAGCGUUAAUCGGAAUUACUGGGCGUAAAGCGUGCGUAGGCGGUUUCUUAAGUCUGCUGUGAAAUCCCCGGGCUCAACCUGGGAAUGGCAGUGGAUACUGGGAGGCUAGAGUGUGUCAGAGGGUGGUGGAAUUCCCGGUGUAGCGGUGAAAUGCGUAGAGAUCGGGAGGAACAUCAGUGGCGAAGGCGGCCACCUGGGACAACACUGACGCUGAGGCACGAAAGCGUGGGGAGCAAACAGGAUUAGAUACCCUGGUAGUCCACGCCCUAAACGAUGCGAACUGGAUGUUGGUCUCAACUCGGAGAUCAGUGUCGAAGCUAACGCGUUAAGUUCGCCGCCUGGGGAGUACGGUCGCAAGA